UACGGGGGGGGGCAAGCGUUGUUCGGAAUUACUGGGCGUAAAGGGCGCGUAGGCGGGAUGGCAAGUCGGUCGUGAAAUCCUUCGGCUCAACCGAAGAACGUCGGCCGAUACUGCCGUUCUUGAGGGAUGCAGAGGAGAUUGGAAUUCCCGGUGUAGCGGUGAAAUGUGUAGAGAUCGGGAGGAACACCGGUGGCGAAGGCGGGUCUCUGGGCAUCUCCUGACGCUGAGGCGCGAAAGCGUGGGGAGCAAACGGG
rnacentral:rRNA from 1 species